AAUAUUGGACAAUGGGCGCAAGCCUGAUCCAGCCAUGCCGCGUGAGUGAUGAAGGCCCUCGGGUUGUAAAGCUCUUUCACCGGGGAAGAUAAUGACGGUAACCGGCGAAGAUGCCCCCGCUAAAUUCGUGCCAGCAGCCGCGGUAAUACGAAGGGGGCUAGCGUUGUUCGGAAUUACUGGGCGUAAAGCGAACGUAGGCGGACAUUCAAAUCAGGGGUGAAAUCCCGGGGCUCAACCCCGGAACUGCCUUGGAUACUUGAUGUCUGGAGUAUAGAAUAGGUGAGUGGAAUUCCGAGUGUAGAGGUGAAAUUCGUAGAUAUUCGGAGGAACACCAGUGGCGAAGGCGGCUCACUGGUCCAUUACUGACGCUGAGGUGCGAAAGCGUGGGGAGCAAACAGG
rnacentral:rRNA from 1 species